AACGAACGCUGGCGGCGUGCUUAACACAUGCAAGUCGAACGCGAAAGGGACUUCGGUCCUGAGUAAAGUGGCGCACGGGUGAGUAACGCGUAGAUAACCUGUCUUCAUGUCUGGAAUAAUACGCCGAAAGGGGUACUAAUACCGGAUAUUCUUGCUUUUCAUAAGUUAUGCAAGCAAAGGUGGCCUCUGCAUAUGCUACUGCAUGAAGAGGGGUCUGCGUACCAUUAGCUAGUAGGUGGGGUAAUGGCCUACCUAGGCGACGAUGGUUAGCGGGUCUGAGAGGAUGAUCCGCCACACUGGCACUGGAACACGGCCAGACUCCUACGGGAGGCAGCAGUGAGGAAUAUUGCGCAGUCGGGGAAACCUGACGCAGCGACGCCGCGUGAGUGAAGGAAGGCCUUCGGGUCGUAAAGCUCUGUCAAGAGGAAAGAAGUGUACAAUGGCUAAUACCUGUUGUAUUUGACGGUACCUCUAAAGGAAGCACCGGCUAACUCCGUGCCAGCAGCCGC
rnacentral:rRNA from 1 species